UACGGAGGGUGCAAGCAUUGAUCGGAAUUACUGGGCGUAAAGGGCGCGUAGGCGGCCUGAAAAGUCAGAUGUGAAAUUCCGGGGCUCAACCCCGGAGCGGCAUUUGAAACUUUCAGGCUAGAGGAUAGUAAGGGUAAACGGAAUUCCACGUGUAGCGGUGAAAUGCGUAGAUAUGUGGAAGAACACCGGUGGUGAAGACGGUUUACUGUGCUAUAACUGACGCUGAGGCGCGAAAGCUAGGGGAGCAAACAGG
rnacentral:rRNA from 1 species